CAGCCGGUGGCUCGUCCUGG
rnacentral:misc_RNA from 1 species